CUAGCUUUGAACAAAUA
rnacentral:sRNA from 1 species